rnacentral:rRNA from 1 species
AACGUAGGAGGCAAGCGUUAUCCGGAUUUACUGGGCGUAAAGCGCGUGCAGGUGGUCGUAUAAGUGGUGCGUGAAAGCUCCCAGGCUAAACCGGGAGAGGGCGUGCCAGACUGUAGGACUAGAGAGAGACAGAGGCAAGGAGAAUUCCGGGUGUAGUGGUGAAAUGCGUAGAGAUCCGGAGGAAUACCAGAGGCGAAGGCGCUUGCC